UACGUAGGGUGCAAGCGUUAUCGGAAUUAACUGGGCGUAAAGCGUGCGCAGGCGGUGAUGUAAGACAGAUGUGAAAUCCCCGGGCUCAACCUGGGAACUGCAUUUGUGACUGCAUCGCUGGAGUGCGGCAGAGGGGGAUGGAAUUCCGCGUGUAGCAGUGAAAUGCGUAGAUAUGCGGAGGAACACCGAUGGCGAAGGCAAUCCCCUGGGCCUGCACUGACGCUCAUGCACGAAAGCGUGGGGAGCAAACAGG
rnacentral:rRNA from 1 species